CGACACAAGAUAUAGUACGGACGGUUGCCUUUAUAUUGUAAGAACGGAAAUCGAAAACAAUUUUCUGGCCCGGAGAAAAAACUUGGCUCUGAUAACUAGAGCAAAAUAACUUGGCCAUCUCUUCACCGUCGAAAGGCUCAUUAGUGGUGCGAUUUCUAUUUUGAAAGUCUACCUCCAAAGUCAUACUAUGAAGAUAAGGAGCUCCAUGAGGACCAUAUGGAUCAUAGUCGGCAACAUGAACCUGCUGAUUUAGCGACCAAGAAGCCCAUUCGCGAUGGGGCUGGGAAGCGCCAAGACAACCCUGUGGAAAGCCAGGAACGGGUUUAGUGCUGAACACACGAGAGUUGUCUACAAUAAUGUACUGCUGCUUAAAGUCCAUGGGAGAAACAAUGAUACAAUUGGUUAAAGCAUCUUCGGUAGAAGUCGCCUUGACGAUCCGAAAAGGACCUGAAGGGCGUCUAACAUCCAUAUGUGUAGGCAGCGGUGGUUUUUGCUCAAAGGGGCUCAUAUUGGGUGUAGGACCAGCACUGUUAUGGGAAUAACUGCCACUUAGUGG